rnacentral:rRNA from 1 species
UGGGGAAUAUUGGACAAUGGGCGAAAGCCUGAUCCAGCCAUGCCGCGUGAGUGAUGAAGGCCUUAGGGUUGUAAUGCUCUUUUGGCGGGGACGAUAAUGACGGUACCCGCAGAGUAAGCCCCGGCUAACUUCGUGCCAGCAGCCGCGGUAAUACGAAGGGGGCUAGCGUUGUUCGGAAUUACUGGGCGUAAAGCGCACGUAGGCGGAUCAGCAAGUCAGGGGUGAAAUCCCGGGGCUCAACCUCGGAACUGCCUCUGAUACUGCUAGUCUAGAGUCCGGAAGAGGUGGGUGGAAUUCCUAGUGUAGAGGUGAAAUUCGCAGAUAUUAGGAAGAACACCGGUGGCGAAGGCGGCCCACUGGUCCGGUACUGACGCUGAGGUGCGAAAGCGUGGGGAGCAAACAGGAUUAGAUACCCCAGUAGUCCCUGAGCGGGCUGGCAAGGCGCAU